CCUAAGACUAGUUACAAAUCAUAAUCAACUCUCAGAAAGAAGAGUCUAUGUCCCUGUACACAGAAUCUGGCUUGACUUUGCGACUUGCUUUCACCAAUCAAAUGCAGAAGAAGUGAAGUCUGGUCCUCAGGAGGUUUUGUACUCCUCUGCUGACUCUCCUGGGAUGCUAAAAACGCCAUGAGUCCUAGUUACGACUAACUUACAUGGCCUAGUCACCUCCAUUGUCCAAGCCAAUAGGUACCCAGCCAUCACACCUAGAGUGAGGCCAUUCCAAUCUCCAGCUGAUCUGCUGUGGAUGAGCAUGGCCAAGAUCAACUGAGCUUGGCUCAGAUGAGCAAGACUCCCUGGAUAACCUACAAUCUUGUGGAGAAAUGGAGGCACUCAUGGAUCAAGCAUUUUCCCAGGGCCACAUAGUUAAUGUAGCACUUAGAAGACUGGGUAUCUUUUUCAAUGCCACAUAGUAGCACAGCUAGGAGUUGAACCAGGCAGUCUGGUGCUACAGGCCAUACAUUUUGACAUGUGUUUUGUUGCCUCUUGACAAAGUCCAUGGACUGUGAUCCUGGGACCAACAGCAUCAGUAUCAACUGGGAACUUCUUAGAAAUUCAAAUUCUUGGGGCUAUUCCCCAAAUUUCUGAGUCAGAAGCUCUGGGGAUAGGGCCCAGCAAGCUAUGUGUUAACAGACUUUUUAGAUCAGGGGUUCCCCCCAACUCCCAGGCCAAGAACCAGUACCAGUCUGUGGCCUGUUAGGAACCAGGCUGCACAGCAGGAGGUGAGGGCAGGUGAGCAUUACUGCCUGAGCCCUGCCUCCUCCUAUCAGAUCAGUGGUGUCAUGGCAUUAGAUUCUCACAGGAUCAAGAACCAUAUUGUGAACUGCACACACAAGGGAUAUAGGCUGCAUGCUCCUUAUAAGCAUCUAAUGCCUGAUGACCUGAGCUAGAACAAUUUCAUCCUGAAACCACCUCCCCCUUCCCCCAACCCCGUCCGUGAAAAAAUUGUCUUCUAUGAAACUGGCCCCUGGUGCCAAAAAGGUUGGGGGUGGCUGUUUCAGAUUAUUCUUACUCAGGAUAAAAUUUGAGGACACCUGCCCUAGCUCCUUAAAUUUAAGCUAUAAUUCAUAAAUUGGGUUCUUACGGUGCAUUAGAAUAAUGCAUUGAAUAGGUGAUUUUUGGAUGACUCCUAUGUGCUAACUACCAUUGUACUUGUAGGUGUUACCAUGCAGAACAAAAGCCGUCUCUGCAUCUACACUCUUGGUAAUUGAGACUUUGUGGCUGCUCGUUUGAAGAGAUAGAAUCUAAUUCCCUAGCCUUGUCUCUGGACUGGCCUUAUGAUUCUCUUUAACCAUAGAAUGUGGGAGAAGUGAUGAUGUGCCUAUUCUAAGUCUAGGCCUCAAGAAGUCUUGAAAGAUUCUGUUCCCUCUUGGUUAGUCCACUGGAGGAUGAGAGACCCACGGCCCAAUAACCUCCAUUGCCUCGGCCAACAGACAGUCAACUUCCAGUCUCACCAUUGCCUAGACUACCACAGGGACCACAGACACAUAACGGUGCCCAGCCAAGACAAGAAGAAACAUCCAGCUGAGUCCAGCCUAAAUUGCUGAUCUGCAGAAUUGAAAACUUGGGAGGAAGACAUACUAUACCACAUGGUCCUUUCCUUUUUCUGUGGAUGGCAAAAAGAUGCAUCACUUCCCGGAGCUUAUGAUAGAAGAUGCUCCUUCGCCAGUGUGAGACACUUAAAAGGACAAUGAUUUGUGCAGGGAACUAACCCUGUGUGCUACGUGUCCUUUUGCUCCAUUUUACUGAUGUGACAAUUGGAGCAGAAUAGUUUAUGUGGCAAAUUUUCCCAGCAUUUAUUUGCACUGCUUACUACAUUCACAUUCUAGUUUACAAAUCUUGACAAAGACAACUGAAUAGGUGUUUUGCAUGAAUGUACUUAUUUUGUAUUGAAGUAUGACACACAUGCAGAGAAGUGACAUUGUCAUAAGCAAAUGGCUUGAUGGCUUUUACAAACUGAAUGUAUGUAUAACCAACAUCGAGAACUAGAAGCAGCUUUUUCAGCCCCUCCUUCCUGAAACUUUUCCUCUCCUUCCACCUUGACCAAGUGUAAUCUCUCUCCUGACCUCUGGCAGAAUAGGUUAGUUUUGCUUAUUUUUAUUUUUAUAUGAGGUGAAUCUCUAGUGUCUGGGUUCUUUUCCUGAAAGCUGUGUUUAUGGAAUUCAUCCAUAUCAUUGUAUGUGGUUAUAGAUUCUCAUUGCUGUGUAGUAGUUCAAUGGCAUGAAUAUACACUAAUCAUUUAUCCGUUCCACUGUUGAUGUGCAAUUGGAGAAUUUCCAAUUUAGAGCUAUUAUGAAUAAUGCUGCUAGAGCCAUUCUAAUGCAUAUCUUCCAGUGAACACAUAUACGCAGUUCUCUUGGGAAUAUUCCUAAGUGUGGAAUUGCUGGGUCGUAGAUGUACAUUUUUAAAAAUCAUAAUAUUAGAGUCGAGUAUGCAGAAUUGACUGAAUUCUAAAACCAAAAGCUAAUUUUUUGAAGUGUGAAUUUCUGUUUGGGGAAAGUGAAUAAUGUGAAGAAACAUAACAUUUUUAUUUAUGGAAAUAAAUUUCAUGUCCUCUGAGCUAACAUCGCCCGUUCUUACGUCUGAAUGGCAGGAUGUUGAGUGUGCUGACGCGGUCAUUUUCUGCGGGGCUGCUCCCAGCUUAGCAUUCUUGCCACAUAAACUCUUCUAGCCCAAACCUUGAAAUACUGCAGGAAGUGGCAUCAGCCCUUUUGUGUUCUUUUCCGGCACCAGGUUGCUCAUCUCUCCCUGUGCCCAUUUGAGGUAAUAUACUGACAGUUGUCAAGAUGAGUCAUGGCUCUUUCUCAGACACACAGGGAGACCAAGUUUGUGACUAAUCGACAAAUCCUCUGGACACAGGCUGAGCCACCAAGAGCCACCCUCGUCCCGGCAAGUUCAGGCCUGGGCUGCAACCUCUGACAGCCAGAGGGGAAAGCAAACAUUGGCAGAACAGUUCUGUUUAUUUGCUUCUCUGAUUUUGAAGACAUGCAGCUUUCUCUCACUCUUCUCCAUUUCCUCUAAAAAAUUUUAUUAAUCUUAGCUUAUUUAUGGCCUUUAGCGUUUGUCUGCCUGUUCAUGCAUGUGCUCAGAAU
rnacentral:lncRNA from 1 species